rnacentral:rRNA from 1 species
GUAGUGGGGGAUACGCUCGGAAACGGACGCUAAUACCGCAUACGUCCUACGGGAGAAAGCAGGGACCUUCGGGCCUUGCGCUAUCAGAUGAGCCUAGGUCGGAUUAGCUAGUUGGUGGGGUAAUGGCUCACCAAGGCGACGAUCCGUAACUGGUCUGAGAGGAUGAUCAGUCACACUGGAACUGAGACACGGUCCAGACUCCUACGGGAGGCAGCAGUGGGGAAUAUUGGACAAUGGGCGAAAGCCUGAUCCAGCCAUGCCGCGUGUGUGAAGAAGGUCUUCGGAUUGUAAAGCACUUUAAGUUGGGAGGAAGGGCAUUAACCUAAUACGUUAGUGUUUUGACGUUACCGACAGAAUAAGCACCGGCUAACUCUGUGCCAGCAGCCGCGGUAAUACGAAUCACUAGUGAAUUCGCGGCCGCCUGCAGGUCGACCAUAGGGAGAGCCCCCAACGCGU